rnacentral:rRNA from 1 species
CCUACGGGUGGCAGCAGUGGGGAAUAUUGCACAAUGGGCGCAAGCCUGAUGCAGCCAUGCCGCGUGUGUGAAGAAGGCCUUCGGGUUGUAAAGCACUUUCAGCGGGGAGGAAGGCGGUGAGGUUAAUAACCUCAUCGAUUGACGUUACCCGCAGAAGAAGCACCGGCUAACUCCGUGCCAGCAGCCGCGGUAAUACGGAGGGUGCAAGCGUUAAUCGGAAUUACUGGGCGUAAAGCGCACGCAGGCGGUCUGUCAAGUCGGAUGUGAAAUCCCCGGGCUCAACCUGGGAACUGCAUUCGAAACUGGCAGGCUAGAGUCUUGUAGAGGGGGGUAGAAUGCCAGGUGUAGGGGUGAAAUGCGUAGAGAUCUGGAGGAAUACCGGUGGCGAAGGCGGCCCCCUGGACAAAGACUGACGCUCAGGUGCGAAAGCGUGGGGAGCAAACAGGAUGAGAUACCCCAUAGUC